GAACGGCAGCGCGGGAGCAAUCCUGGCGGCGAGUGGCGAACGGGUGAGUAAUACAUCGGAACGUGCCCAAUCGUGGGGGAUAACGCAGCGAAAGCUGUGCUAAUACCGCAUACGAUCUACGGAUGAAAGCAGGGGGUCGCAAGACCUUGCGCGAAUGGAGCGGCCGAUGGCAGAUUAGGUAGUUGGUGAGGUAAAGGCUCACCAAGCCUUCGAUCUGUGGCUGGUCUGAGAGGAUGACCAGCCACACUGGGACUGAGACACGGCCCAGACUCCUACGGGAGGCAGCAGUGGGGAAUUUUGGACAAUGGGCGCAAGCCUGAUCCAGCCAUGCCGCGUGCAGGAUGAAGGCCUUCGGGUUGUAAACUGCUUUUGUACGGAACGAAACGGCCUUUUCUAAUAAAGAGGGCUAAUGACGGUACCGUAAGAAUAAGCACCGGCUAACUACGUGCCAGCAGCCGCGGUAAUACGUAGGGUGCAAGCGUUAAUCGGAAUUACUGGGCGUAAAGCGUGCGCAGGCGGUAAUGUAAGACAGUUGUGAAAUCCCCGGGCUCAACCUGGGAACUGCAUCUGUGACUGCAUUGCUGGAGUACGGCAGAGGGGGAUGGAAUUCCGCGUGUAGCAGUGAAAUGCGUAGAUAUGCGGAGGAACACCGAUGGCGAAGGCAAUCCCCUGGGCCUGUACUGACGCUCAUGCACGAAAGCGUGGGGAGCAAAUAGGAUUAGAUACCCUGGUAGUCCACGCCCUAAACGAUGUCAACUGGUUGUUGGGAAUUCACUUUCUCAGUAACGAAGCUAACGCGU
rnacentral:rRNA from 1 species